UGAGGAGGAAGAGGAAGUCCGCAGCAGAGACAGCCAUUUCCUCACAGCCAAGGGUGGGAUUUCCUGGAAUACACAGAGGAGAAGAGGAAGAUGAGAAGCUAAUACAGCUGCCCAAGAAGAGCCAACCUGCAUUGCCACUGGAAACCGAGCCACUAAGACAGGAUUGAGAAAGAGAAAGGAGACUCUGGUUAGGCUAACAAGAAACACAUCAGAAGGUGCUUGCUUACCAUCCUCAUUCCAGAGCUUUCACGAUUGCUUCACUGGCUUCCACACGGAUCUGGGCUUCUGCCUUCGCUGCUUCAUCGGAGGCUGAGGCUAACUCCGACAAGGCCUUUUCCAGGUUGGACUUGGCCACCUGCAAGCAAGAAGAGGGUAACUGGGUCAGCAAUUGAAGCUCUGCACAAAGGGAAACCUAAAGUGCCACCUCUCGAGUCCCCCAUUUGGAGCAGAAAACCAGAGAGGGAAACUUGCUCCUGAUAAAAGUCAUACUAAGCAAUUGUAGAUUUUUUGGGGAAAAGUAUAUGAGGGGUUUAUAAAGGGGAUAAACCACCAGGACUUUCCACUGUGGUGGGAUUUUGAGUUCCUGCAAGGCAAGAGGCUAUGCUGAUGGCAGCAGUGCAUCUGGUACGGUCUUCCACAUCAGACAGGCUUUUGCUGAGGACCCAGAUCGAAUGUGCCAAAGCAAUGAGCUACGCAAGCAGGGGACAACUACAAGUAGUGCUGUGGCUAACGAUGCAACUGGACUCAAACGGAAAGCAUGUUCAGCUGUUGACUUGCUCAGAGGCGAAAGGAAAGUCUGAAGCUGCACAAGGUAUAUAAUGGACACAUGGAAUGUGAAAACAUUACAGGGAGACAGGCUUCCUCAAGGAAGUCACGGCUGCUCUGAGUUUCCAAGAUCUUAGCAGGGCUGCUGCUGAGGAUAAGGAGAAUGGGAGAACUUUCAUUCAUAGGGUUGCUAUAAGUUGAAGCUGACCUGACAGCAACUAAGAACUAAACAAAAACAGGGGUGUGGAGAAGAAGGGGAGAAACAGUUACUAACCGUGACAUCAAGCUGAUCCAACAGUGCCACUUCCUCAGCUAGUAGCUGGACUGAAGAGUCUGCAUUUACUGUGAUGGAACCGCUACUGACUACAGAAAGAAGAUUGCAAAGCAAGAGGGGAAAAAUAAGUCAGUAAUGAACCACUGAAAAUCCCAUCAUUUAUUUGUUGACUUAAAUAUUUAUUAUUACACUUUUAUGCUGACUGAUAACCAAAGCUCUACAGUUGUGUGCAAAUAGCAUUAAAACUAUUUAGAAGCACAACAACAA